rnacentral:rRNA from 1 species
UACGAAGGGGGCUAGCGUUGCUCGGAAUCACUGGGCGUUAAGGGUGCGUAGGCGGGUUUUUAAGUCAGGGGUGAAAUCCUGGAGCUCAACUCCAGAACUGCCUUUGAUACUGAAGAUCUUGAGUCCGGGAGAGGUGAGUGGAACUGCGAGUGUAGAGGUGAAAUUCGUAGAUAUUCGCAAGAACACCAGUGGCGAAGGCGGCUCACUGGCCCGAUACUGACGCUGAGGCACGAAAGCGUGGGGAGCAAACAGG